rnacentral:rRNA from 1 species
AUACGUAGGGGGCGAGCGUUGUCCGGAAUGAUUGGGCGUAAAGGGCGCGUAGGCGGCCGCUUAAGUCUGGAGUGAAAGUCCUGUUUUCCAGAUGGGAAUUGCUUUGGAUACUGGGGGGCUUGAGUGCAGGAGAGGUUAUCGGAAUUCCCGGUGUAGCGGUGAAAUGCGUAGAGAUCGGGAGGAACACCAGUGGCGAAGGCGGGUAACUGGACUGCAACUGACGCUGAGGCGCGAAAGUGUGGGGAGCAAACAGGAUUAGAUACCCUGGUAGUCCACACUGUAAACGAUGAAUGCUAGGUGUAAGAGGUAUCGACCCCUUUUGUGCCGGAGUCAACACAAUAAGCAUUCCGCCUGGGGAGUACGGCCGCAAGGUUGAAACUCAAAGGAAUUGACGGGG